AUACGUAGGGAGCGAGCGUUGUCCGGAAUGAUUGGGCGUAAAGGGCGCGUAGGCGGCGCGGUAAGUCUGGAGUGAAAGUCCUGCUUUCAAGGUGGGAAUUGCUUUGGAUACUGCCGCGCUUGAGUGCAGGAGAGGUUAUCGGAAUUCCCGGUGUAGCGGUGAAAUGCGUAGAGAUCGGGAGGAACACCAGUGGCGAAGGCGGGUAACUGGACUGCAACUGACGCUGAGGCGCGAAAGUGUGGGGAGCAAACAGGAUUAGAUACCCUGGUAGUCCACACUGUAAACGAUGAAUGCUAGGUGUAAGAGGUAUCGACCCCUUUUGUGCCGGAGUCAACACAAUAAGCAUUCCGCCUGGGGAGUACGGCCGCAAGGUUGAAACUCAAAUGAAUUGGCGGGG
rnacentral:rRNA from 1 species